CACGGCUAGCUCUCAUCUUUGACUACCUCCUCGGCGUGGCGGCUGUGACAUUCAGCCUCUCCGAGGAACGACCAGCUGGUUGCAUGAGUGGGAUGCCAUGGGAGGCCUGGAUAGACGACCCUUAUACCAUAUUUGAAGAGAACCCAUCAAAGAGACGAGCACCCGUGUCAGUUAGAGUGGAUGACAUGUUUGAUCAGAUAAAAGAGAAGCUACCUGGAGUACUCAGGUUCCUUCUGUGCCUUUUUCCUCAGAAAGAAAAAUGCAAAGUUGGGUAUGUGUUGCAAAAUCUACUGCAGUGUUGUCCACCUUACACUGAAUCUUCAAUGUUACCAUAAGUGUGGAUGUAGUAAAUGCAUGUGAUAAACCAACCAAAAUGUUCACCAUUUAUCUUAUUUUAUGAAGGGGCUCGACUCUAGGAUCUUCUCUUGGUGGAAGAGCUGGUGCCCCAAGGGGCCAUAGCGGACCUCCCGGGGACGGAGGGCGUGGAUUCAGCGGACGGGGAAGAUACUAGGAUGCAGUUUUAGUUUGUUGUUUAUUUGACAUCAUGUUCUACAUGAUCUAUGCUCAGAAACUAGAGUGUUCUUGUAAACUUUAUUUUAAGUUUGCUUAGUGCACUCAACUGCGUAUGUGUGGGAAGUUGAAUUCUCUGUUGAACAAUCCUUUGUGUCUUUUUACAAGUCA